GGGUUGUGAGGUUAAGCGACUAAGCGUACACGGUGGAUGCCCUGGCAGUCAGAGGCGAUGAAGGACGUGCUAAUCUGCGAUAAGCGCCGGUAAGGUGAUAUGAACCGUUAUAACCGGCGAUUUCCGAAUGGGGAAACCCAGUGUGACUCGUCACACUAUCAUUAACUGAAUCCAUAGGUUAAUGAGGCGAACCGGGGGAACUGAAACAUCUAAGUACCCCGAGGAAAAGAAAUCAACCGAGAUUCCCCCAGUAGCGGCGAGCGAACGGGGAGGAGCCCAGAGCCUGAAUCAGCAUGUGUGUUAGUGGAAGCGUCUGGAAAGGCGCGCGAUACAGGGUGACAGCCCCGUACACAAAAGCGCAUGUGCUGUGAGCUCGAUGAGUAGGGCGGGACACGUGGUAUCCUGUCUGAAUAUGGGGGGACCAUCCUCCAAGGCUAAAUACUCCUGACUGACCGAUAGUGAACCAGUACCGUGAGGGAAAGGCGAAAAGAACCCCGGCGAGGGGAGUGAAAAAGAACCUGAAACCGUGUACGUACAAGCAGUGGGAGCACCCUUUGGGGUGUGACUGCGUACCUUUUGUAUAAUGGGUCAGCGACUUAUAUUCUGUAGCAAGGUUAACCGUAUAGGGGAGCCGGAGGGAAACCGAGUCUUAACCGGGCGUUAAGUUGCAGGGUAUAGACCCGAAACCCGGUGAUCUAGCCAUGGGCAGGUUGAAGGUUGGGUAACACUAACUGGAGGACCGAACCGACUAAUGUUGAAAAAUUAGCGGAUGACCUGUGGCUGGGGGUGAAAGGCCAAUCAAACCGGGAGAUAGCUGGUUCUCCCCGAAAGCUAUUUAGGUAGCGCCUCGUGAAUUCAUCUCCGGGGGUAGAGCACUGUUUCGGCUAGGGGGCCAUCCCGGCUUACCAACCCGAUGCAAACUGCGAAUACCGGAGAAUGUUAUCACGGGAGACACACGGCGGGUGCUAACGUCCGUCGUGAAGAGGGAAACAACCCAGACCGCCAGCUAAGGUCCCAAAGUCAUGGUUAAGUGGGAAACGAUGUGGGAAGGCCCAGACAGCCAGGAUGUUGGCUUAGAAGCAGCCAUCAUUUAAAGAAAGCGUAAUAGCUCACUGGUCGAGUCGGCCUGCGCGGAAGAUGUAACGGGGCUAAACCAUG
rnacentral:rRNA from 1 species